AAUAGGUAUUGAUAAUAUUAUUUUCUCUCUCUUGUGAGUUCAUCUUUUUCAUUUUGUUUUCCAGAUAUAGGACAGAUAUUUAUCUUGUCUACUACAAAAACACUCCCAAAUUCAUAAGCGUGCAUUGACUGAGACGUGACGUGGGAAACAGUAACUCAUAAUUUCUAUUAUGCCUCCCUGGAAGGCUAAGACAUAAAACAAGAAAAGAAGAAAAACUGUGAGAUCGCUGAACUGCCAUCUUUCCUUCCCACAUCUCCUGGCAGCUGGUUAUCGGAGCCUCUCCUCCUGUCACCUGGACACAAAAUACCUGUGUAUUGCUGUACGGAGAAUGAUCUCAGUGGGCGGCUGGCGACCUGUCCUUGGGAAAGAAGUCAGACUGCCGCCUUCAUGGACAGAGUAUCUUCUUCACAAGAGAGACCCCCCCCCCACGUACCUGCAAAUGAGAACAUGGAACCCCUCAGACCUUGGGUGGUCAACUGGAAGGAGUUUUCUUUUCUGAGAGGGGAGAUAUUCUCUGAAAUUCUCAGGUAUCAGUCUGCCCUUUGAAUCAUAUGCUUUUAUUUUUACUUUUUAAAAAAUUGUUGUCUUUUGUUUUUAAUAUCAGUCAUUUUAGGAUAUACAGUUAAACCCUUCCCUCUACCUUCAGACACACACAGACUCUCACUUGGAUACAAACACAUGUGAACACAUGCACACACCAGGCCCGUUGGGAGCGCUCGUUUUCAGUAAAGACCAUUUAAACUUGCUUUACUUACCCUGCUUGGAACUGUCCACUCUAGGUGAGAGGGGAAAUACAGAAUUAAAGAGGGAAAUCUUCCCUAUCCUUUCAUGAUUUAUUGCAUAUGUAAUUAAUCUCUGUUCUUUGUGAAGAGAAAAAUAGCCAGAGACAAUUGAGCAACUGUAAUCUGUGUAACAAUGACCCUGUUCCACUGGUCCUGCUUCUAGCCCUGCCCUUACAACCAUCCCCACCACCUGCCACCCACAGGGCAGGCAAGCCCCUGAGGGAGAGAGCAGGCAGCAUGUGCCAGACCACCACCAGCUCCCCUCAGACCAGAUAGCCCAGGCCCCUGAGCCCAAAGGCCUUGGGACCAGCCAGGCUUCCAGCCCCGGGCCCUCAGCCAUCCUCCUGGCAAGCAAACCCUGGGGACGGACUGCUCCCGUGGGGGCUCCGGCCGCAGCUCCCAAGGCCUCAGAAAGGAGAAGUCCUGGGCACGGCGGUCCGGUGCCUCAACA
rnacentral:lncRNA from 1 species